AACGUAGGACGCAAGCGUUAUCCGGAGUUACUGGGCGUAAAGCGCGUGCAGGCGGUUGCUCAAGUCUGAUGUGAAAUCUCCUCGCUCAACGGGGAGCAGCCAUUGGAAACUGGGCAACUGGAGUCUGGCAGAGGUAGGCGGAAUUCCGGGUGGAGUGGUGAAAUGCGUAGAGAUCCGGAGGAACACCAGAGGCGAAGGCGGCCUACUGGGCCAGUACUGACGCUGAGCCGCGAAAGCCAGGGGAGCGAACGGG
rnacentral:rRNA from 1 species